UCUCUUCCCACAUGUAGAGGAGGGUGAGGUACACAGUCUUCCCACAUGUAGAAGAGGGUGAGGUACACAGUCUUCCCACAUGUAGAGGAGGGUGAGGUACACAGUCUCCCCACAUGUAGAGGAGGGUGAGGUACACAGUCUUCCCACAUGUAGAGGAGGGUGAGGUACACAGUCUCCCCACAUGUAGAGGAGGGUGAGGUACACAGUCUUCCCACAUGUAGAGGAGGGUGAGGUAUACAUUCAUUUCCUUUUAGUUUGGUUGACAACCACCUCCAUACAUUCAGGAGAACCAAACAGCAAUAUUAAAAGCAUUUACCAAGUUUGUCAUUUUAAGGUGAAAUUUAGCAAAUUUCUUCAUGUUUCAUCUUUUGAUUCAUCAACUUUUGUAUUCCUUACAGUUCAGACAUAUUGUAUAACCCAUAGAAAAUAGUUCACAUUUUUUUUAAGUGGAAGGCUGUUUGUAUUGAUUUGUGUAUAUCAAAGAUACUCCAUAGCUGCAUUUUCUACACAUGGACUCCACAGUUAUCAGUAAAAGAUAGAACUUUUCCCAUUCAUAUUUUAUAUUUAUUUAUUAUUUAUUAUUAUUUUUUUAUCUGGUUUGCUGAGGAAGACUACAGAACCAAGUACUGUACCACCUGUGUUUAUUACAAAUACACUCGAGUGCACGAGAUGUCAACAGGGUUUCCCUUUCAGGUGCAUACUAGUUAAGAAAAUCUUAAGUACUGUAGUACCACUGUUGGCAGUAUUAGAUUUGUUUGUUGAUAAGCAAUGGAGCAUAUUGAGCUCACAGUUAAUUUGAGAAAGGCCAGUUUUAAUUACUUGAAUAGUUUUGGUAUUACAGUACAAUAUGGUUUUAGUAAUCUAGCCUUCACUAAUUCAAAUACUGUACAGUACCUAUAUUUCCUUAAUCCAAACUUGAAUUUUGUUUCCAAUUUUUUCAUAAAAUAAAUAUUUAUAAAAAAGGUAAAGGCAAAGAAAAUUCAAGUUUAUACUUUGCUAAGAAUGGUCGGUAAUCACCAAACACAUGAGAUGACUCACUAUAUCCUAUGGUUUAUACAUAUGUUUGUAAUUAAAGUGGUGCACAAGUAGGGUUGAAAGUUGUCUGUUAUUGGUUUAGAAUACUGUAGGUAUAACGUGGGUUUACAAACAAAGUUCUUUUCUAAUCUUUUUUUAUUUAGUGGUAAAGAGCACUAUUACUGCUCCUAUCUAAUGCAGUAUACUGUAUAAUGUACUGUAUCUAUCAAUCACCUGCAUACUAUACAUCAAGCAUCAACAGUAAAUUAUGUAGUAUAAAGAUAUUCCCACUUAUUUGAAGUUUUUCUGUGUCUACCAAUUAGCUUGAAUUAUUGAGAGUGUACUGUUUGUGCAGGGCACAUUUACUGACACUUAGAAUAUUGUAGAUAUUUUAUAAAAAAUUUGCAGAAUAUCUGUACAACAUGUGAAUUUUGUUUUAAUAAGAAACUAAAAGAAAAAUUCUUAAUACAAUGUCUUUGCUUUAUAAUCCCAGUCUCCCAUACAGAGUUGAUGAUGAGAAGACUGUGCCACAGUUACCAUAUUUCAGUAUGUGCAAAAACAAAACUUGAGUAAUGUCUGACUGAUGAAAACAUUAUAGUGUCAUAUCUUAUCUUAUCUCGGCCAAGUGUGGCUAAAGUGGUGGUGAUAGUGGAAGCUGUCAUUAAUUAUAGGACUCCUGAGUGAAUGAUUGCUUCCCAAAUUAAGUCAUUCUUAUGAAAUAUACUGUAAGCAUCACUUAGUAUCAUGUUUUUUCAAAUUUAUUUUUUAUUUUAGUUCCUGAGACUAAUUGCUAGGAGUUAGUAUUAUAGUAUUAGGACAAGGAGAAAACUUUGAUUUCUCAAGUACUGUACAGUACAAUAUGCUGAAAUGUAGAUUUUUAUGAAGUUUUCAGGGAUAAUGGCCUUUGGUAUCUUGCCCAUGCAGGUUAAGUAAAUAGUCCCUCCAAUCGUUUUGAAUUUAUAGUAUUUCCAAUUUUGAACUUUGGGAUAGACUACAAUUUGUCAAAAGUGGUUUUGUAAGUUUUCUAACAAUUUUGAGAUAAAAGACUGCAGCACCUAGAAGAUGGGCAUGAACAAAUGCUUAAGUAAUGUCUUCACAUUGUCAUUAUAAUGAUUAGGUAGCAGAAAAUCUGUUUCUCAUCUAUAAAAAGUUUCUCUUUAAAAUUCAUAUUGCCUCAUGUAAAAACUCCUCUCAGAUCUACAGAGCCAUUGAGUUAUUAUUUGUUUAUUUAAUUUUCUACUACUUGAAAAAAUAGUUUUAAUUAAAUUUUGCUAGUCCUUUAAAGGAAAAGAAAAUUUAAGGAAACUACAGCAAUAGUAGUUCACUCACCAAGAGAUUUGAAAGUACAGUAUGGUUUUUGUGAUGGUAGUGAGCAUGUUAUUGUAUGCAAUAAUUGUUCUCUUUGUGUAGACUGUAGAGUGAUAAAAAACAGUAUAGGGAGAAUUUCAUUAAAUUUUUUGGAAAAGGCUUUUCAGAAUAGAUUUAAGUCAUAUAAAACUAUUGCAGUUACAGUAUAUUUGCUGUGUUUUAUUGACUGCUUUAGUAUUAGAAUUGACUGAUUUGGAUAUUAUUCUAAUUUGAGUAUUAGAAGUCAUAUUGAGCUUCAAAUUUAUUCAACAGUAUUGUGUUCAUGACUGAUAUGUAAAUUGAAGCCAAAAUAAGGUAAUGUAGUACUCAAUUUUACUGUCAUUAUAGUUGUCAGUGGCCCACAUUGGGUAUACAAAAGCCCUGUUAUAAGUAUACUUAUGUGUCAUCUGUCCAUCAAGUGUUUUGUGUUUGUUGGUUAUCUUUGUAACGAGUUAAGUUAUUGCAGUGAAACUUGGUUAGCUUUUGGAUCAUCACCUAAGAAUUUCACAAACUGUUCAUGACCCUAACCUCUGGUUCAGGGUCAGAAUUCAUUAUCAAAUGGUGUCAAUGAAUAAUUUUCCAUUUGCCAAUUGCUGUCAGUGAAUGGUUUCUUGUUUGCCAUGUAAUAUUGUACAGUAUCUGGUUAAAAUAUUGUAAUGAAACUUGAUUUGCUUUUAUAUUAUCACCUAAAGAUGUAUUGCAUACAAAAAUCAUGACCAAAUACUCGAGGAACAAGGUCAGAUCAUAUUCACUAAAUAAGUCUGCUACUGGUUAACUUAUGUCUUUGGAAUCUGAUGUGCUUUUAUAUCGUUACGUAAGGAUGUGUCACCCACUACAGAUAUAUAUCCAUCUGCUUGUCUAUCAAUUAAUUUCACAUUCACUCAAUAGCUUGAGAACCAGGGGAUGUGUAACCCUUGCCUUUUUCAGCUGUUAUCUGUAUAGCUGAAGCUGUUGGACAUAGCAAUGAAACUACAGUACAGCCAUAGUACCGUAUUAUUUAAUGCACUAUUUGGCAUGCUAAUGAUGGGGGUGCAGCAAUAUGUUAUGUUAUGACAUACAUAGAAAUUGAAACAUUCCCUGUACUGUAUAGAGCUUUGUUGUAAUUCACCUGCUUUUGUUUACUCUAAUUGCAGUGAAAUUGUUUUUGUUUCACCUAUGGCACUGAUGUGUUGUAUUUGUAUUAUUUUAUUAUUAUUAUUAUUUUUUUAAUUAAAUCCUCUUUCUCCAAUGCAUACAUUAUAAGCACUGACAGCUUCCAAAAAACUUAAAUAGACAAAGGGGAAAUUUGUACUGUAUGUUAAUUUUUGAAGAUAUGAGACUGUCAGUUUGUGAGUGAUGAUUGAUGUCAGAAAUUGACUCGAGGGGGAUAUACAGUACUGUACAGUAGUAAAGUGUCUUUACUGGAAUAAUUGUUGCAUUGGAUGGUCUUAACCAUGGAAAAAUGCAAUUCAAUGUGUUAUAUGUACUCAUUUACUGUACAGAAAUUCUAGUUUUCAGUAGUUUAUUAGAUCAAUACUUACCCCUGAGUAAUGGUAAAUAGAUAAUGAUAUUUGCACAUUCUCCAGGGUCCUUGUGAUGUUAAUAUUCUUAGGCACUUUUAUUAUUAUUUGUUACAUACUAUAUUAUUAAUGUUUGGAGUGAGUACGGCUACAAUACCUGUACUAAGUUGGCAUUAGAUCAGAAUGAGCCUUAUUUACAUGCAUUUAAUAUCAGGAACUAGACAAUAAUGUAUAAAAAAAAAACCCAUAUUAAAAUACUUUCAGUUCAUAUUGAUUGUGGGUAGCACAAGGACUUCAGUUGGUAUUCACUUUAUAAAUUCUGUAAUACAGAAUUAGUGUUGUUUUAAGUUUUGGAACAGGCUGUUAUUAUCUGUAUCUGGUUGGUAUGCUUGCAACAGUAGAAUGUUACAAAGAAGUGUUGUUAAAGGCUUUAUUAAUGGAAGAAAAAUUAUUCAGGGUUUUGUAAUAAAAUACACUUAACAUGGGAAAAAAGAUGUAAUCACCAAUUCACUCUUGUUGACAAUUCAGAAACAUUGUACAGUUGUUGGUGCAUGUCAUUGUAGUUUCCUUGGAGUUUGUAGUUAUACAGGCAGUCAUUCCAUGCUCACAUACUUGGUCAUAUCAUAGUGUAUUCUGUGCAUGCAUAUCAUAGUCUAUUCUCUUGCAAUUUGUUUUAUAUUCUACAAUUUCUCAAUACAAAAAGUUGGUGCAAUUUCAUUAAAUUUUUUUUGAAAAUGUAGACAAGGGAAUUUUCUGCCUGUAGGCAGUAGCUUCUCAUUCUUGUGUCUGAAUGAUACCCUUGUCAUUUACACAAAUUUUUUUAUUAGUACAGUACAGGUAGUAUACUGAAUGUACAAAAUUACAAAACAAAAAAUUACACUUUUUUGUCAAAUUGUGUUUAUAACUAAAACUUAAACAAGUUUGUAUAAGGGUCAUUUACUUUACAGUACUAAUGUGUGCAUAUCUUGUUCCAUACCAUGUGAGACUACCAGAGUGUGAUUUUUAUUCAUUGUUAGGGAGAUUGCAACAGUCUAUAUUAUAAUACAUUGGAAAUUGAAAAAGUUUUGUUGGAAAUUUUAUUGUGUAAAGUGGGUUGGGUAACAGGACUAGUUAAUGAAUUUAUUGCAAUAUUUUUAGUCACAGACUGUGAUGGACUAAAGAUCUUGUUCACUAUAUACUGUAAUUAGCAUUAAUUUAGCUUUCUAAAAUUAACCUAACAUUUAUAUUGAGAUAUGGCAAGUACCCUGUAAUGUGACAUAGUGUAAGUCUAACCCAUGUUCUUGGAGGUAGGGACAUUAAAAAGAUUUAUUCUUAUUCCUCCACUAAUUUGGUAAGCAAAAAGUACUUUGCCCAUUAACAUGCCCAGUACAUGUAUUCCGCAGUUAUUGAGGAGUCUUACCAAAUGUUAUUUUAAUACUUGCAGCCAAUCCAGCCAUAUUUGGUUUUAUUUGUGGUUACCAGUGCAGUGUAAUCACAAGGUGUAACAGUAAUUCAGAAAAUUUACAGCUAUUUUACCCCCAAAAAUGUGAUGAAUGAUACUAUUGAUGAUGUUUUCAAAGGUACAGUAGUAAAAUACUAAUAUGUAAUUACAGUGAGUGGUUAAAGAGUACAGUACAUUACUGUAUUCAUUUGCUGUAAUAUAUGGUACUUCUACUUUGUUAUAUACUGUACUGUAUUUAAAAAAAAACAUAGCAACUAGUCUUUGUCAUCAGUUAAAAAUGUGGUGUGAUGGAGGUUACCUAAUUUUAUAUUUAAUUAUUUUGUUUAAUUUGCUAAGAAUGUUGCAAAUAUAAUCUUGCCAUACAUGGUCAGAUUGCAUUAUCAAGAUUGUAUGUAGCCACAGAAGUUAUUUACAGUAUUUCAUAAUAUACUGUAGAUACUAGGUGUGUGAGUGUCUAUGCUUGAAAUAUAAUGAGUGACUUGUUUUCAUUUUUAUUUGACUGUAAGUAUAUUCUUUAACAAAUUCAUUAAUUUACUCAGGAAGUACCAUUCUCUUCUAGUAUUGUUCUUCAACACUUUGUGUUCGUUAAUAAUUCUUAAUGCUGGUAUAAAAUGAAUAUUUAAUCAAAGUAUGAUGAAUUAUGAUGCUCUGGACAUUAUUUACACUAUAAGAUAACAGUACAGUACUGUUAAGACUUGACACAGACCUUGACACAUAAGUUUCUGAAGGACACUGCUAUCUUUAUCAUGUAGUGCAGUGUGGAGACUAUGAUGUUCCAAAAAAUUUAUAUGCUUAUUAUUUGCUUUUUUUUUGUACAUUGAUAUGAAAGUUACAAUAAAUGAUCUUCAUAUUAAGGUCAAGUAACAGAAAAUAAGAAUAUUGUCUGCAGUGUCAGGUAUACAUGUACAGUAGUUAUAAACCAGUGUGAAAAGUCCAAUGAGUUAGUACAGUAUAAAGAUGAGCAGAAGCGUACUCCAGUGUUCUAUUUCACAUUGAACGUGGAGGUAAAAUUUUAGAAUAAAAAAGUAAAAUUAAAUAUAGGGUUAAAAUAUACCACAUUUGCUAAGUCAUUCAUUCAGUACUGUUUCAUAUAUUCUAAGUACAUUACUGUACACCUAAGUGAUGAGGACAUGCUUUUUUUUGUAACAUGAACUGUAACCAACCAGGGCAAGAAAAUCUGGACUUUUAAGCCUUGGUAUUCUGUACUUGGAGGUAUUUCGAAAUUUACUGUCACUUAUUUUGAAGUUAAUUGAAGAUAUGGAUCAUAUGUUUGAUAAUGGAGAUUAGAUGCUGCCCCUACUUAAUAUUUUUUGUAGAUAAUCUUUUAUAAGAUGGGUUUCCAUAAAUAUAAAUAAAUGUUUU
rnacentral:lncRNA from 1 species